rnacentral:lncRNA from 1 species
ACAACUGGUCCUUUUCAAUAGCCUCUAGAAAUCAUCUAUUUAUAAUUUUCCAGUUAAUGCUUCACAAUCAUCUCAUGACAUUGCUACUGUUGGUCUUACUUAGUCAUUUGCAGCCAAACGCAAAUGAAUCUCAGACAAAUUCUGCUUGUCAUAACUCUAUUCAUUGUGCUCUUUGGCCUAAUCUUAUCAUUGUUAAUAGUUCCGUAUGAUUCAGACACUGAUUUGGAUACUCGAGGUCCUCUGACUGAGUUUCCUAAACAAGAAAUGAUACUUCACAUGCCUGAAAAUGAAUAAUCUAGAAUAUUUCAUUAACAUUCAGCUGACCAGUUUUAAAUAAGAGCAGUUGGGAUUGCAUUCAAUUAAACUGGAGUCUAUAAGAGUGUCAUGAGGCAAGAUGGAGUUUCUUAUUGAAGGUGAAGGCCAAGCAAGACCAGCGACAGCAUCAUGACAGAGCAUCUCAUGGAACUAGUGAUCUACAAAAUACUUUGGAAGUCCUAGUACAGUUUGAGCUUGUGCAGAAAAUAUGGAGCAUUUUAAAUUGACCAAUCUUAAGUAAGUGAAGAAGACAAAGUUGGAAAGGUAAGUUAGAGUCAUAUCACGGAUGACUGUGACCUGCUGACUACUCUCUCCUGGAAACUCCCUUUCCUUAGCCACUAUGUUAAGGCAAGUCUGAAUGACUUUGGCUCAAAAUCUGCUCUGCCACUCACUUACUAAUCUUAAGACCUUCAGCAAAUUAUUUUUCUUUCCCUGAUUUUCCUUAUUUGCAUACCUAUAAAAUAGGGUUGUUAACAGGAAGGAUUCGAUGAGCCCAUGAAUAUAAACUACUUAUCAUACCUGACAAAUAAUAAAUGUUAUUUAUCUUUCCAUCUGGGGUGAUUCCCUUUCCUGCCUUUUGAAUAAUCCCCUCUGCUUCCUUAAUUGACACAGCAUUUUCUUCAGGUUCCUUAAAUAUAGGCUUUCCUUAGAAUUCCUUUAGCCACUUUUUUUUUUUUUGCUUACUCUAAAUGUUCUCCUUUAGUGAUAGCUUCAAUUCCCUAGCCUGAUACACUCCAUAUCUACAAACCUAGCCCUGAUAUUUCUCUAAAAUUCCAGAGAGUACUUCCAAACAACACCUGAACAUGUGUACCUGAAAUGUCCUACAGGUACUUUGAGCUUAUCAUGUUCAAAACUGCACAUAGUAUCUUCUGUUGUAGUGUACUUCCAUACUUCUUUUCCCUUCUGUAUUAUGUGUCCCAUUAUCAAACACCCAGUCGUCAAAGCUAGAAAACCUUGAAUUCAUUUUUUACUUUUUCUAUUCUCUCAACCCUGCCUUUGCCUCCACUACUUCCCUCCCCACAUUUGGGUGAUCAACUGAUCCACUGAUUCCAUUUCCAGAUUAUUUCUUGAAUUGAUUAGUACUGUUUCAUUCCUACUACAGGCUUUCAUCACAUUCUUAUCACCUCUCAUUUAGAUUUAUGAAAUAGGUUUCUAAUUUGUUUCACUCUUCCAGUUGAUCCUCCACACUAUGAUGUUUCUUAAAUACAAAAUUGAUUAUCUUAUUUUCAUAUCUUAAAACCUACAAAGAUUAUAAUUUUUCUAUCAAAUACCUUAAACAAACAAUGAACACUAGUUAAUGAUAGUCAUGCUGAAGUAUUUAGAGAGGAAUGUACUGAAACGUACAAUCUGUUUUGAAAUGUAUAAAAAAUAAAAUGAAUUGAUGGAUUAUAAAGGGAUAGAUAGGUGAUUAAACAAGUUUAGCAAAAUGUUAAUAGUACAAUCUAAUGGUAGUUAUACUAGUACUGAUUGUAGAAUUCUUUCCAUUUUAUUUAAAAAUAAAAUCUAUACUUUAAAACUGUUCAUAAUAAAAUGUUGGGGAAGGAGGAGUAAAACUAUGAAGGCUCCGGGUUGUCUACAGGGUAGCAUCCAAAUACCUUAAGUAGGCCCUUCACAACUUGGCUCCAAUCUACCACUCCAGCCUUCCAUCCUCCUACUGAUUUGACCCUAUGUUCUAACCAAAUGGAAUGAAUCAACAUCCCCUUAAUGCCUUAUAGACUUUUUUGUGGCUAAGCCUUUGUCAUCCUUCUAUCUUUGCCUGGAAGAGCCUUUCAUUAUUUUUCUGUCUGGCAAAUGUCUAAUCAUUUUUAACAGCAGCAGCAUCUCCUCUGGGAUGACUCCCCGGACAAAGUUAACUGAUUGAUAUUCAUUCUUUGUCUCUCUGCCUCUCUCUCUCUCAAUUGCAUUGUAGCACUUACCGUGUUGAGCUGUGAUUAAUACUUACGUAUGUGUUUUUCCCAACUGCACUAGCUGCUCCUUGAUGACUAUCUCCCAGUCUUUGUAUACACAAUACCCAGCAUAUCCCAACACAUUCUAGGUCCUCAAUAUGUCUCUGAAUUAAACUGAACACCAGACUAAGAAGUAUGCUAUUCCUUACGCAAAGUUUUAAGUUGCUGUCUCUGGGCCUUUUUACUUUGCUCAGUGGCAAUCUGUCUGUCCUCUGUUCCAUACGCCAGGGGUUUUUACUAUCGCUCAUCUUUAACCAGGGAUAAGUAUAUCAGCUGUUGUAUUUAAUCCAAAUGGGUUACAUACAUUUCAAAUCUGUCUUCUAUAAUUAUGGAGUAAGGGUUUUUCUUCCUAUAAAGACUUUUACGUGUGAGGAGAAGUUCACUGACAAUUAGCUAAUGCUUGGUCUAUUUCUAGAAGUGCUAAAAAUGACCUUAUGGAACCGCCUUUGCAAAAUUAUGACAGACAGUGAAAGAGAUCUAACUUAACUGACUGCACCUUGCUUCUAAUCUCCAAGCUGUCCUUGUUGAUUCCUGGGCAUAGGCUGAACUAACUUCGGGAGAAACUUAGUUUACAGUUUAAACAAAGACAGUAACAGCCCUUUCCCAAAGCAGACCUCCUUCUUGCCUGGGGACUAGAUUGCCUUUGUAGGACUCACAUUAGCCAGAAGAUUAAAAAUUAUGGUUUAGGAGUCAUGCAGCUGGAGGCUACAAGAUUCCGACCCUCCCUAAACUGCACCUAAGAUCAGUGCUUGAGAUAUUUUGCAGCCCCUGCACUUGAUGGAUCAGCUGGCACCACCCAGAUCAAUAAACUGGCUCAUCUGAUCUUCUGGACCCCCACCCAGGAAAUGAUUCAGCACAAGAAGACAGCUCUAACUCCCUAUGAUUUCAUCUCUGACCAAUCGGCUCUCCUGGAACACUGGCUUCCCCCACCCACCAAGUUAUCCUUAAAAACUCUGCUCCCCAAAUGCUCAGGGAGACUGAUUUGAGUAAUAAUAAAACCCUGGUCUCCCGCACAGCUGGCUCUGUGUGAAUUACUCUUUUUCUAUUACAGUUCCCCUGUCCUGAUGAAUCGGCUCUGUCUAGGCAGCAGGCAAGGUGAAUCCCUUAGGCAGUU